rnacentral:rRNA from 1 species
AUUGAACGCUGGCGGCAGGCUUAACACAUGCAAGUCGAGCGAGCGGCGGACGGGUGAGUAAUGUCUGGGAAACUGCCUGAUGGAGGGGGAUAACUACUGGAAAAGGUAGAUAAUACCGCAUAACAUCAGAUGUGCCCAGAUGGGAUUAGCUAGUAGGUGGGGUAAUGGCGCACCGAGGCGACAAUCCCUAGCUGGUCUGAGAGGAAGACCGGCCACACUGGAACGUAGACACGGUCCAGACUCCUACGGGAGGCAGCAGGGGGGAAUAGUGCACAAUGGGCGCAAGCCUGAUGCAGCCAUGCCGCGUGUGUGAAGAAGGCCUUCGGGUUGUAAAGCACUUUCAGCGAGGAGGCGUUACUCGCAGAAGAAGCACCGGCUAACUCCGUGCCAGCAGCCGCGGUAAUUC